CCCCAGCCCCUCCUGAGCCCCCACAGCGAGGGGACCCCCAAAACCCCCCCGGAACCCCCCCCAUACUCACGGCCGGGGGUCGGAUUUUGCAGAUUCCGCUUUUCUCGGCGAUCGGGCGGAUCUUGGCGAUGUAACCCAGGGGGUCGCUGAACUCGGCCCAGCUGGGCUCGAACACGGGACACUCCGGGGGCGGCAAAAAGUCCUCGGGGGGCUCCGGUUCCGCCGCCGGCCACGGCGACCCCCACUCCCCGCGCUGCUCCGGGCCGGCCCCGCCGCCGCGGGUGCCCCCGAGGGGCCGCCGGGCCUUGUCCUCGGCUCCGGGCCGCUCCCCGCCGCCGCGGGCCCCGCGCUCCUCGGCGGCUUUGCGGGGGCUCCGCUCCUCGCCCGGGGGGCGCCCCGCGGCUCCUUUGCCGGGUCCCCCCCCGCCCUUAGCCCGCGGUUCUGCCCCGGUCCGGGGGGGCCGCGGGGCGCUCGCGGCCUUCUCGUCCCCCGCCGCUUUGGGGGGCGCGGCCGCCGGCCGGGGGGGCCCCGCGUCCCCGGAGGGCUCCGGGCCCCCCCACUCCGCGCCGCGGCCCCGCUUGGGCUCCUCGUCCCCGUCGGGCGGCGGCGGCGGCGGGGGGACCCACGGCGGGGACCCCCCCGGGCCGGGCCCCCACUCGGGCCAGCCGCCCCCUGCGCGCUGCUGCUCCCCCUCCUCCAUGCCUCGCACCGAGGGGAGCGGGGGGUUCCGGGGCUGCCCGCCGGGACCCCCUCAGGGGGCCAUGGAGGCCCCGCCGCCCCCGCGCCGCCCCCUCACAGGCCGCGGGCCGCCCCCCCCGGCCCCGAGCCGCGGGGAAAGGGGUGUUAAGACAACGCCCGCGAGCUCCGCCGACCCGCCGGCCCCUCCGCGGCCCCUGCGCCGCCUCUCCGGCCCGUCCAGCCCCGCCGCCCCGCGCUCCGCCCGCCUCACAGCCCAGGCCUGCCCGGUCCCCCCGGCCGGGCCGCCGCCGCCAUCUUGGAUCCUCCUCCUCCUGCCGCCCGCCCCCCGCCCGCGCGCACGCGCGCACUGCGCAGGCGCGGCCGCGCACGCCGCCCCGGGCGGUGUGAUGAGUCCCGCGUGUCCUUCCGCCGCGGGACCAGAACGGGCGCCGAGCGCCGCCACCGCCGGCGAGGGCGGGAACAGGGAGAGGGGAAAACAGCACCGGAGCCUCCCCGCCGUGGUCCGGGUGGCGGGAGACGGUGUGGCGGGAUGAGGGACGGAGAAAUAGUCCCCAGGCUCCGCCCCG
rnacentral:lncRNA from 1 species